UGGAUGAAUGAUGAUGACUGGUGCAUAUGAGUCGUGGAGGAUUAAUAAUACGUGUCUGGAACUCUGAGGUCCAA